rnacentral:rRNA from 1 species
UUCCACCGGAGCUUGCUCCACCGGAGAAUGAGGAGUGGGGAAGGGGUGAGUGGCACGUGGGUAACGUGCCCAUCAGAAGGGGAUAACACUUGGAAACAGGUGCUAAUACCGUAUAACAAUCAAAAGCGCAUGGUUUUGAUUUGAAAGGCGCUUUCGGGUGUCGCUGAUGGAUGGACCCGCGGUGCAUUAGCUAAUUGGUGAGUUGACGGCUCACCGAGGCCACGAUGCAUAGCCGACCUGAGAGGGUGAUCGGCCACAUUGGGACUGAGACACGGCCCAAACUCCUACGGGAGGCAGCAGUAGGGAAUCUUCGGCAUUGGACGAAAGUCUGACCGAGCAACGCCGCAUGAGUGAAGAAGGUUUUCGGAUCGUAAAACUCUGUUGUUAGAGAAGAACAAGGAUGAGAGUAACUGUUCAUCCCUUGACGGUAUCUAACCAGAAAGCCACGGCUAACUACGUGCCAGCAGCCGCGGUAAGACGUAGGUGGCAAGCGUUGUCCGGAUUUAUUGGGCGUAAAGCGAGCGCAGGCGGUUCCUUAAGUCUGAUGUGAAAGCCCCCGGCUCAACCGGGGAGGGUCAUUGGAAACUGGGAGACUUGAGUGCAGAAGAGGAGAGUGGAAUUCCAUGUGUAGCGGUGAAAUGCGUAGAUAUAUGGAGGAGGACCAGUGGCGAAGGCGGCUCUCUGGUCUGUAACUGACGCUGAGGCUCGAAAGCGUGGGGAGCAAACAGGAUUAGAUACCCUGGUAGUCCACGCCGUAAACGAUGAGUGCUAAGUGUUGGAGGGUUUCCGCCCUUCAGUGCUGCAGCUAACGCAUUAAGCACUCCGCCUGGGGAGUACGACCGCAAGGUUGAAACUCAAAGGAAUUGACGGGGGCCCGCACAACCGGUGGAGCAUGUGGUUUAGAUCGAAGCAACGCGAAGAACCUUACCAGGUCUUGACAUCCUUUGACCACUC